AGAGUUAUUCAUCUUGGGAGGUCGGCUAUUUCUGUUGGUUUGGAUACUAAGCGGUUGCAGAUGUCUUGGCGGGAUUCCAAGAAUAAGACUGAUUGUGGAGUCUAUCUUAUGCAUCAUAUGGAAUCUUAUGUAGGCCAGCGAUGUCUAAGCAUGGAAAUGUGGCC